rnacentral:sRNA from 1 species
AUUGAACAGGUUGAAACGUUGUACGAAGAACUGGGUAAUAUUGAUAUCGUGCGAAUGGUAUUGUAAUACAUCCAGACGGUUACCCGGUCUUAUCCGGGUAACUCC